rnacentral:sRNA from 1 species
GGAUGUGAGGGUGAUCUGGUUGUGACAUCUGACACCCCACUGGUCUCCAGGGUUGAUUCAGCUAAUCUCGCUGGCUCAGUUGUUGUCUCCUUCCCCUCUUACCUCUCCACUGCAUCUCUCCCAAAGCUGCACACUUGGCCAAAGAGGACAGCCUUCCCUGAGAACCAUUCCUCAAUCAAAGAUAUACGAGUAGCUGUGCUCCCCUGCUAGAGCCUCCAAACAAGUUCUCAUGACACUGAUCCCAUUAUCAGUUCCUGAUGGCUAAUCUUGAUUGUCAACUUGACACGCCUGAGAAGAGGAAUUCUCA